GUAUCCUACGGGACGCAGCAGUGGGGAAUAUUGCACAAUGGGGGAAACCCUGAUGCAGCGACGCCGCGUGAGCGAUGAAGUAUUUCGGUGUGUAAAGCUCUAUCAGUAGGGAAGAAAAUGACGGUACCUGACUAAGAAGCCCCGGCUAACUACGUGCCAGCAGCCGCGGUAAUACGUAGGGGGCAAGCGUUAUCCGGAUUUACUGGGUGUAAAGGGGGCGCAGACGGCGAUGCAAGCCAGGAGUGAAAGCCCGGGGCCCAACCCCGGGACUGCUCUGGAAACUGUGCGGCUAGAGUACUGGAGGG
rnacentral:rRNA from 1 species